rnacentral:lncRNA from 1 species
UUGUGGGUCCCGGUGUAAUUUUUAGCGCUCUCGGCGUGUUACGAUAAUCGGUUUUGGAAAAACGAUUCUUGUGGGAUUAAUUAUAGGGUUGUGUGUAGUGUCCCUGAGGUUUAAUUGUUUGAGAGACUUCAGCAUCUGUGGCUUGUCGACACGUCUGGAGAGUGUCGUGACAAGUCGAAGUCGUUUUGGCGCGAAUUGAACGCAAAACGGACUCGGUGUAGUGCGAGAGUGGCGUUCUGGCACUGAAAUCUGUAAUGUGCAGGAUUUCAGCGUUGAGUAUCGGUACCUGGGAGGAGUACCGGUACCCCAGAGGGAUUACAAAACUGAAAUGCUCUCGGGUUUGCGCAGUUUGAUGCUGAGUACCGGUACCUGUCGGUGAGUACCGGAACUGGGGCUGAGUACCGGUACCUCAGAGGCAGAUUUGAGUGGUAAAGGGUAGUUUGGUUCUUUUGAUUGGCGAUUAUUCCAGCCGACCCCAGCUUAUAUAUAUAUGUGUGUGUGUGUGUGUGUGUGUGUGUGUGUGUGUGUGUGUGUGUGUGUGUGUGUGUGUGGAAGCUUCGAGAAGGCUGUUAGCUUCCCUUCUUCUUCCCUUUCCCUAACUGGUUAGGAUUGAACGUAGGAGGGUCGUUCGAGCGUGUGGGUUGUCCCGGUGGAGCAGUUGGAGGUAUGAGCUGAUCUUCCUUCUCGUCGUCUUGGAGGUUCGCUCGUGUGCCGUGGCCGAUUUCGAUUAAGCCCGUUUGAGGUAGAGCUAGUGCGGAGCUUCUCCUUUUGACUUCUAGCCGGUGUUGGACGAGCGUUCGAGGUGGGUUAAUGUUUAUCGAAAUCGUUGGAAUUCCUUCUAAGUCAUAGAGUGUCAGCAUGUGUUUUAUUGUUCAAUUAUCAUGUUUAGUAGCUCAAAUUCAUGGAUUUGUUUGUUCUU